GUUUCUUUUUGUUUCAGUUUCAUUGAUUUCAGCUCUGAUUUUAAUAAUUUCCUGUCUUCUGCUGCUUUUGGUGUUGAUUUGUUCUUUUUCUAGGGCUUUGAGAUGUAAUGUUAGGUUAUUUAUUUGGCUGUUUUCUGUUCUUUUAAUAAAUGUGCUCAAUGUAAUGAGCUUUUCUCUUAGAAUGCCUUCAUAAUGUUCCAAAGAUUUUAAUAUGUUGUGUUGUUAUUCUCAUUUACUAAGUAUUUUUUGAAUUUCAUCCCUGAUUUCUUCUGCUAUCCAUUGGUCAUUCAAUAGCAUGUUAUAGUCUCUGGAUGUUAGAGUAGCUUCUAUUUUUUAUUUUAUCAUUGAUUUCUAAUUUUAUUGUAUUAUGAUAGAAUGUCAGGUAUUAUCUCUUUUUUGUGUAUUUGCUAAGAGUUGUUUUGUAGCAUGAUAUAUUGUCUAUUUUACAGAAGGAUCUGUAAAGUAUUUUUGAUCAUUGAUGGAUGAAAUACUCCAUAUGUUCAUUAAGUCCAAAUUAUUGAUUGUAUUAUUUAGUUCUACAGUUUUUUUGUUUAGUUUUUGUUUGGAAUAUCUAUCCAGUGAUGAGAGAGGUAUGUUAAAGUCACCCAGUAUUAUGUUGUGGUCUAUUUCAUUCUUGAAAUUGAGAAGGUUUUGUUUUAUGUAUGUAAAUGCUUCAUUGUUUGGGGCAUAAAUAUUUACAAUUAUUAUGUCUUGUUGACAUAUAAUUCCUUUAAACAGUAUGAAGUGACCUUCUUUGUCCCUCUUGAUUAAUUUUGGCUUGAAGUCUACUUUACCUGAUAUGACGCUAGAAACCCCUGCUUAUUUAGUAAUCCAUAUUGAAUGAUAUGUUUUUAGGCAUUUUCAUAAUAAUGAGCAUUGGCGUGGGGGUCUGUGGUAAUUUUGUACAUUUGAAGUCCUGUAAGCCUUCUGUAUUUGAUUUUCCAUUUCAUUCUUUAGGUUUGGGACAUUUUCUGAUAUUAUUUCAUGGAUAAGAUUGUGUAUUCCUUUGGUUUGUGUCUCUGAACGUUUAACUAUCCCAAUAAAUCUUAAAUUUUGUCUUUUCAUGUUAUCCCAUAUUUCUUGGAAGUUCUGUUCAUGGUCUCUUAACAUCUUCUUUCCAUGAUCAAAUUUAUUUUCGAGAUUAUAUAUUUUGUCUUCAUUGCCUGAAACACUCUCUCUGACUGGUCUGUUCUGUUCGUGAAGCUUUCUAUUGAAUUUUUAAUUUGGUUUAUUGAUUCCUUCAUUUCAAGGAUUUCUGCUUGAUUUCUUUUCCUAAUCCCUAUUGAAGUGAUCUUUCAUCUCCUGAAUUUUAUCUCUUGAUUUCAUUCCUUACAUCAUCCUUUACCUUGAGGAUUAAACUAUGUACAUUCUAAACUCCUUUUCUGAUGUUUCUUCCACUGUGGUGUCAGUGGAUUCUAUUAUUGGAACAUAUUAGUUUGUUUGGGGCAAUUUGUUCCCUUGUUUUUUCAUAUUAUUUGUGUGUCUACCCACCUAGCAGUGGAUCUGACACAGUACAGUUUCUACCCUGUAGCCUUCCCUGAAGGUUUCCAGUACCUCACUUUUAAGGGGGAGUCAAAUAAUAACAGCACCCAAUGCGAACAAUAUACAGCCUUAAACCAAAUAGUUACUACUAAGACAUCUACAAUUUUGUCACAAUAAACAAAUGAUGUAUUUAGUUAUUGCCCACAAUAAAAACAGUAAGUCUGCAAAAGGGUUUACAAAUGGUGGACAAAUCGAGAACAGAAGUAUUGUAGGAUGUGAUGUUUAUGAGGAAGGAGGAGAGAGG
rnacentral:lncRNA from 1 species